GCGGCGGUGCUGGAAUCGGCAGACAGGCACGUUUGAGGUGCGUGUGCAUUUGCGUGUGGGUUCAAGUCCCAUCCGCCGCACCA
rnacentral:tRNA from 1 species